rnacentral:rRNA from 1 species
CAGUAGCCGCGGGAAUACGGAGGGUGCAAGCGUUAAUCGGAAUUACUGGGCGUAAAGCGCACGCAGGCGGUCUGACAAGUCAGAUGUGAAAUCCCCGGGCUUAACCUGGGAACUGCAUUUGAAACUGUCAGGCUGGAGUCUUGUAGAGGGGGGUGGAAUUCCAGGUGUAGCGGUGAAAUGCGUAGAGAUCUGGAGGAAUACCGGUGGCGAAGGCGGCCCCCUGGACAAAGACUGACGCUCAGGUGCGAAAGCGUGGGGAGCAAACAGGAUUAGAUACCCGGGUAGUCCCUGUCUCUUAUAU